rnacentral:rRNA from 1 species
UACGUAGGUGGCAAGCGUUGUCCGGAAUUAUUGGGCGUAAAGCGCGCGCAGGCGGUCCUUUAAGUCUGAUGUGAAAGCCCACGGCUCAACCGUGGAGGGUCAUUGGAAACUGGGGGGACUUGAGUGCAGGAGAGAAGAGUGGAAUUCCACGUGUAGCGGUGAAAUGCGUAGAGAUGUGGAGGAACACCAGUGGCGAAGGCGCCACUCUGGGCCGAAACUGACGCUGAGGAGCGAAAGCGUGGGUAGCAAACAGG